rnacentral:rRNA from 1 species
AUUGAACGCUGGCGGCAGGCUUAACACAUGCAAGUCGAGCGGGGGAAGGUAGCUUGCUACUGGACCUAGCGGCGGACGGGUGAGUAAUGCUUAGGAAUCUGCCUAUUAGUGGGGGACAACAUCUCGAAAGGGAUGCUAAUACCGCAUACGUCCUACGGGAGAAAGCAGGGGAUCUUCGGACCUUGCGCUAAUAGAUGAGCCUAAGUCGGAUUAGCUAGUUGGUGGGGUAAAGGCCUACCAAGGCGACGAUCUGUAGCGGGUCUGAGAGGAUGAUCCGCCACACUGGGACUGAGACACGGCCCAGACUCCUACGGGAGGCAGCAGUGGGGAAUAUUGGACAAUGGGGGGAACCCUGAUCCAGCCAUGCCGCGUGUGUGAAGAAGGCCUUAUGGUUGUAAAGCACUUUAAGCGAGGAGGAGGCUACUUUAGUUAAUACCUAGAGAUAGUGGACGUUACUCGCAGAAUAAGCACCGGCUAACUCUGUGCCAGCAGCCGCGGUAAUACAGAGGGUGCGAGCGUUAAUCGGAUUUACUGGGCGUAAAGCGUGCGUAGGCGGCUUAUUAAGUCGGAUGUGAAAUCCCCGAGCUUAACUUGGGAAUUGCAUUCGAUACUGGUGAGCUAGAGUAUGGGAGAGGAUGGUAGAAUUCCAGGUGUAGCGGUGAAAUGCGUAGAGAUCUGGAGGAAUACCGAUGGCGAAAGCAGCCAUCUGGCCUAAUACUGACGCUGAGUACGAAAGCAUGGGGAGCAA